AUCCUUUGAUUGAUUGAUAAGCGUGAUGUUUGGGUGUCCACGCACUUGUGUGAUAGGUGUCUCCCACAAACCUUUGUUACAACGUCAGCGCAUUACCCAUCUGAUG